rnacentral:sRNA from 1 species
UAUAUAACUCAAUAUCACCCUAGAUGUCGC